CUACGCCUACGGGGGGCAGCAGUGGGGAAUAUUGGGCAAUGGGCGCAAGCCUGACCCAGCAACGCCGCGUGAAGGAAGAAGGUCUUCGGAUUGUAAACUUUUGUCUUAUGGGACGAUAAUGACGGUACCAUAGGAGGAAGUCACGACUAACUACGUGCCAGCAGCCGCGGUAAUACGUAGGGGGCAAGCGUUAUCCGGAUUUACUGGGUGUAAAGGGAGCGUAGACGGCGGCGCAAGUCCGGAGUGAAAGCCCACGGCCCAACCGUGGGACUGCUCUGGAAACUGUGCGGCUUGAGUGCGGGAGG
rnacentral:rRNA from 1 species